GCAAACUUUGAUGUUACUACCUUCUGAACAAUCAGCGUGAGAAUCAUUGGUUGAUAGAAAAUUUAACGUAAUCAACAUUCCUUCUUUGACUGAAAUUGAUAUUUGAAAAUUUAUACUUGUCUCUAAUAUUUAUUGGAUUAUGCAUCGAUGUUCUCGAUCAUUUUUUCAUCUAACAUUAUUUGCUUUUACUAUGAAACAUGCAAUUGAUACGAGCAGCAAGUCUUUACAUAUAUCGAGAUUUACAGACGAACAAAAUCAACAAGUGGCUGCGCGUACCAACACUAAACGAAUAACAACGCUACAACUAUGAAUAGUUUGCAAACAAUUUUAGCCAGUCUGCAGAUAACUCGGCAUUAGACAGCACGAAG
rnacentral:misc_RNA from 1 species